UGGGGAAUAUUGGACAAUGGGCGCAAGCCUGAUCCAGCCAUGCCGCGUGAGUGAUGAAGGCCUUAGGGUUGUAAAGCUCUUCGCCGGUGAAGAUAAUGACGGUAACCGGAGAAGAAGCCCCGGCUAACUUCGUGCCAGCAGCCGCGGUAAUACGAAGGGGGCUAGCGUUGCUCGGAAUCACUGGGCGUAAAGCGCACGUAGGCGGAUCGUUAAGUCAGGGGUGAAAUCCUGGAGCUCAACUCCAGAACUGCCCUUGAUACUGGCGAUCUCGAGUUCGAGAGAGGUUGGUGGAACUCCGAGUGUAGAGGUGAAAUUCGUAGAUAUUCGGAAGAACACCAGUGGCGAAGGCGGCCAACUGGCUCGAUACUGACGCUGAGGUGCGAAAGCGUGGGGAGCAAAACAGGAUUAGAUACCCUGGUAGUCCACGCCGUAAACGAUGGAUGCUAGCCGUUGGGGGGUUUACCUCUCAGUGGCGCAGCUAACGCCUUAAGCAUCCCGCCUGGGGAGUACGGUCGCAAGAUUAAAAACUCAAAGGAAUUGACGGGGUCAUAGCUGUUUCCU
rnacentral:rRNA from 1 species